AACGAACGCUGGCGGCGUGCCUAACACAUGCAAGUCGAGCGAGAAAGCCCGCAAGGGUGAGUAAAGCGGCGCACGGGUGCGUAACACGUGGGUAAUCUGCCCUGAAGCCCGGAAUAACUCGCCGAAAGGCGUGCUAAUGCCGGAUAAGACCACGGGAACCUCGGUUCCUGCGGGAAAAGGUGGCCUCUGUACACAAGCUAUCUCUUCAGGAUGAGCCCGCGGCCCAUCAGCUAGUUGGCGGGGUAACGGCCCACCAAGGCUACGACGGGUAGCUGGUCUAAGAGGACGAUCAGCCACACUGGAACUGAGACACGGUCCAGACUCCUACGGGAGGCAGCAGUGGGGAAUCUUGCGCAAUGGGCGAAAGCCUGACGCAGCAACGCCGCGUGUGUGAUGAAGGUCUUCGGAUCGUAAAGCACUGUCGGGAGGGACGAAUAAGGUGCCGGCUAACAUCCGGCGCUGAUGACGGUACCUCCAAAGGAAGCACCGGCUAACUCUGUGCCAGCCGCCGCGGUAACAC
rnacentral:rRNA from 1 species